ACGCACGCUGGCGGCGUGCCUAAUCCAUGCACGUUGAGCGCUGAAGGUUGGUACUUGUACCGACUGGAUGAGCAGCGAACGGGUGAGUAACGCGUGGGGAAUCUGCCUUUGAGCGGGGGACAACAUUUGGAAACGAAUGCUAAUACCGCAUAAAAACUUUAAACACAAGUUUUAAGUUUGAAAGAUGCAAUUGCAUCACUCAAAGAUGAUCCCGCGUUGUAUUAGCUAGUUGGUGAGGUAAAGGCUCACCAAGGCGAUGAUACAUAGCCGACCUGAGAGGGUGAUCGGCCACAUUGGGACUGAGACACGGCCCAAACUCCUACGGGAGGCAGCAGUAGGGAAUCUUCGGCAAUGGACGAAAGUCUGACCGAGCAACGCCGCGUGAGUGAAGAAGGUUUUCGGAUCGUAAAACUCUGUUGGUAGAGAAGAACGUUGGUGAGAGUGGAAAGCUCAUCAAGUGACGGUAACUACCCAGAAAGGGACGGCUAACUACGUG
rnacentral:rRNA from 1 species